GGCAAAGGUCACAUGAAAACGUACCUGAACUUUUGUCACAACGACAACAACGACUUACGCAACAGCGACGUCGGCGCUGUUGCGGCGGACGCGACGAUGGGGUCCUGCUGAGGCGCAGGGCAGCGGGCAGCAGCAGCAGCAGCAGCAGUGACGUCGUCAAUAAUAGUGGCAGCAGCAACAACAACAACAACAACAAUGUCUAGUGUUAUACCAGGACUUCAGAAAUGCACCGAUCGGCGGAUGCAGGUCCCGUGAUAAGCCCUGCCCCCCCGAGGACAUCACAAUUAUCCCCUUCCCCUCAAGCAGGAGGGGGAGCUCUCCCUGGAGCCUAGCCUAGGAUCCCGAUGAUUUGGCAGCACCCACAAGGUAAUUACCUGGUUAUAACCAUCGUUCACGUGGCCCAUAAACGCCCGUUCAGCCGAAUCCGCCUCCGUUGGGAUUCGAUCACAGGUUUAAACAUAGAUAUUUUCACAAUUCCAAUUAUGUUUUUAUAAUACUUCAGAAAUGCGUCAUUAGACGGGUGUAGAGUGAUGACAACACAAUAUCUUCAGAGUACUACACCCAAGCAGAUGGCGCCCGGGGCGAGAACCCCUCCAUCUGACAGCCUCUUUGCGUUGCCUCAAUUUUUAUAUUAUCAAUGUACGUAUGUAAGUAUGUAUGUCCGUAUGUCGUUUAUCAUGAUAUCCGGUUACGGGCGGACCUCCGGCAGCCGUGCGUUUCACCAUCCCCACCACCACCGGCUGCCUGCCUGCCGGCUUCCAAGAGGUUUGCAUGCGGCGAUAGCCUAAGGGGGUGCAUGGUAUUGCGCAUGUAUACAAACAAAACAUAUAUGUCUGUAUGUCUGUACGUGCAAUCUGGAAACAUGGGAGUUGUUGUGAAUGAAUUGAAGUCUAAGAGAGCUCAGCCGAGCGAACGUCUAGCAGGAGUUCGAGUGUACGGAUGCUGUACGGAGUGGUAUGUGGUGUACGCGGUGUAUGCUUGGCGAAAAUUGAACAACGGAUGGCGAGCUGCUGCUGCUGCCGCUGUCUGAGGGUCACCAACAGCUGUGGUGCGUGGUAGCAGCUAUAGUUCCGGAAUUAGCAGGAUCAGGAGUAGCAGGAGUAGCAACAAUAACAGAGAUUGGCUGCUGGUCUACCUGGUCCUUGGUAUUGNNNNNNNNNNNNNNNNNNNNNNNNNNNNNNNNNNNNNNNNNNNNNNNNNNGGAGAGGGAGAGGGAGAGGGAGAGGGAGAGGGAGAGGGAGAGGGAGAGGGAGAGGGAGAGAUGAACCAACGGAGUUGCCCAUAUAGGCCAUAGUUGGGUUGUCGUACUCGGUUGGAAGUUGGGCCACCAGCGGCCAGGCGAGGGCUGUGUUCACAUGGACAGAGCCGGCCUGAGGCCUUUGUGCGGCUAAACGUGUGUGCGUGUGUGUGUAUUUGCGGUCGCACGUGUGUUUGUUUGUAUUCAUGUAUAGGAGGAGGGACCAACAUUAUUACCGGGAGGUAAGACAGCGAGCAAAGAGAGCCACGUGUAUGUAUGUAUGUAUGUGUGCUUGUGGUUAUGACUUGCGCAUGCAUUAUUUCACCCACCGGGAACUGGGGUGAGACACCGCCGGGGGAGCUGUGUCUUACUCGCGAGCAGUAAUACAUCGAACUUUUGGACCAUAUGCUUUUUAUCUGAUUCCAGACACAGCAUUGAUGUUAAGGUGCGACAUUGUAUCCUUAGAUGGCCCCAGUUUGAUACCGCCAAGUCAUGAUGUGAAGGUUCUCAACCCGUAAGCGAGUGGUCGGUGAUGGGCUGGUCGGUAACUGAUCCCCGAUUGUGGUGACCUGCGAGCCGACCACGAGUGAUGUUGGCGCCGUCGUUAAUGGGCAGAUUCUGUCCACUGGUGAUGGAUUCUCAAUCCGAGGAUGUCACUGACUUCUCUGAAGUGGCCAUAUGUGAGGACGACGAGGGUGCCCGGAAGGCAGGACGGUCCAGCUGGAGUGGCCACGGGUGAAACCAUAAAACCCCCUACAUCGCACAAUCGUGCGAAAAUUUAUAUGAUCUGCGUGUGUUACAGCAAGGGCCAUAAAAGAAGGGGCAAAAUAGAAGGGCGGGCUGCAAAGUUUUAACUCGCAGUCUGAAUCCGUCCGGAUUUUUACUCGGCUUGCUGUAUCUUAUAUAAACGGCUAUAGUAUCUGUUGUGAGAUGUAGUGGCCGAAACUAAACUUAAUUUCCCGUUUAAGUUGGUAAUAAAUUAUUACUAAAAAAUUACUACUAAUAUUUUGGAAAACGUGCACCUGAUAGAUGAAUGCGUGAUGGCGAAACCGGCGUUGCCUAAUCACGUGAUUUACUUUUAUGCUUUGUGCUUUCCUGUAUCACCGCCUCAUUAUUUCUGUAUUCGGCGGCCCCGACAGCAAUCAAGCUACGCGCGUACCUGCGACGCGCGACGACCACGCGCCCUGCUGAAACCCUACUAGUUUUCAUGAGUAGUUAGUUGCCUUACCUCUUGAAGGCGGCGGGGAUAGGCUAGGGUUACCUGCGAGCAGAAGAGUAUGCUUGCUUCCGCGGGAGGAGGCGAGCCUGGUCACCGACGGCGGUGUAAUGGGCAGAAGCCGCAGUGGAAACCCGUCAAUACUGACACAUAUCAUACGAACUCGCGAAAUUACUAUAUCCGUCCCACUCUCCGCGUCUUGCACUACGCUCGCACCGGUACGGCCCCGCCGUACUCCCAACGAACAGCCGGGUACGCUUUUGGCAAGAAUACACAUUAAAACCUUGGUUUCUUUUCGUUAUUCUCAGAAAACCUCUUCAGUUUUUAACUCUUGCUUCCGUCUGUAGGUUCCAUCUGCGCUCUCGUCAAUAGUCGUCAUCAUCAUCAGCAGCAGGAGCACCCGCAGCCUAGGCCUCAUUCAGUCAUCCAGCAAUAGACCUGUUUUUUCCUUUACCUGUCACGUUUUACCCUGCAACUAAUUUAUAAUAGCUCUUUCUGGGUCUGACUCAUCAGCUGCGCAGCCACGCGGACAUUUUAACGGAAACUAAAACCCUGCUGUCAACAUGCCAUCUGCAUCUCCACCCACGCAUCAGCAGUUCAUCAUUAAGGUUUUGGCGUCGGCUAUUUCUUACUCGUAACCGUGCAGCUUUUUGUUUC
rnacentral:lncRNA from 1 species